rnacentral:rRNA from 1 species
AUGGCCGCUCUCCUGAACCCUACGGCUCGGCGCCUCACCCUCGCUGCCUGCCGCCGUCUCUCUACGCCGCCGGCGGUGGAGCCCUUCGUGGCUCACUGGAGCACCCAAGCAAGAUACAAUUCCAGUCUGGUGGAGGUUAAUGGCGGAUUUGGGGAGAUGGUUGCCGACACAAAGAGGUACUACGUGCUUGGAGGCAAAGGUGGUGUUGGGACAACAAGCAUGGCAGCAUCACUUGCUAUGAAGUUUGCCAACCAUGGUGAACCGACGCUCAUAGUUUCUAUGCACCCAGCACAUUCACUGGGUGAUACAUUUGAACAAGACCUGAGUGGCGGUAAUAUUGUACCUGUCAAUGGAGUCGACUCUCUUUUUGCUGCCGAGAUUGGCCAUGUUAAUACAAAGGAGGAAUCUUCUAAUAGUGGAUCUUUUAUGCGUAAUAUACUGGACAAGAUAGGGCUUGGAGUCCUUGCUGAUCCGCUGGGAAAGAAUAAGCUGCAUGAAAUGCUGAUGAAAACUCCUGGAUUUGGAGAAGCCGUUGCAAUUUCGAAGCUGAUGCAAAUCGUCGAACUGCAAGAGAGCAAUAAAUUUAGGCGCAUAGUUUUGGAUACCGCGGCAACUGGGCAUACACUAAACCUUUUAUCCGCUACAACUUUAAUGGAGAAGCUCCUUGGUAUGGCCAAUAAGGCUGUGAAUUUAGCGUCGUCCUUCCCAGCUCUUAAAUCAGCUUUCGGGAAAGACCAAAUAGAUCCUGCCAGGAUAGAGGUGCUAAGAAAGCAGAUUGCCAGAGUACAUGAGCUUAUGCAAGAUCCACAAUCAACUGAAUUUAUCAUUGUGACGAUUCCUACGGUGAUGGCUAUUACCGAGUCAUCAAGGUUUCAUGCAUCUUUGAAGAAGGAUGGUGCGCCAGCAACAAGGCUUGUCGUAAAUCAAGUAUUGCCCCCCUCUACAUCUGAGUGCAGAUUUUGUUCUACAAAACGCAAGGAAGAAGCACGUGCCCUGAAUAUGAUAAGCAAUGACCGUGAGCUCGGCGGCCUAGAGCUAAUCCAAGCGCCGCUUCUUGAUGUGGAGUACUGGUGGCGGCAUUCAAAUUGUCUGGAAAUGUGGUUGAAUCUGGAGAAAAGAUGA